rnacentral:lncRNA from 1 species
CCAAAAUAGCAAAAGAAUUGCUGCAUUAAAAGAGCAAAGUGGGAGACAUCACCAUCUUGGACUUGAAGCUAUAUUACAAACUACUGUGAUAAAAACAAACAAACAAGCAUGGUACUGGCACAAAAACAGACAUGAGGAUCAAUGGAACAGAGCAGAGGACGCAGAAACAACCCCAAGCACAUUCAACUAUUUCACCUUUGACAAAGGGGACAGAAACACACACUGGCAGAAAGAUAGACUCUUUGAUAAAUGAUGUUGGGAGAACUGGUUAUCCACAUGCAGGAGAUUAAAUCUAGACCUCGAACGAGGAAAUGAAACUUAAAACAUAGACAAAGGCCGGUUCUGAGCAUUUCUCGAUGGUUUUAUCAACUGAGCACUUUUUGCCAUCCGUGUUUGUGAGAGGUGAAGUGACUCAACAUCCUGCUUUGCCUGAAACAGUUCUGGCUUGUGUCUAUUAUCCCAGUACAAUUACUAAUGGCAUCCUGUUCUACUUUCGCUUGGUUUAUCUGCUCACUGUAAACAAAGCACCCACCUGCCCUUCCACUUUCUGCCAUCGGUUGAAACCAGCUGAGACCCUCAGCAGAAGUUAA